rnacentral:rRNA from 1 species
UGAAUACGAGAUGCUACGGCGUCGAAGCAGUCUAUGUCAUACUUCCAAGAAAAGCUUGCACUGUCAUAAACAAAUAAUGCCUGUACCAUAACCGACACAGGUGGGUAGGUAGAGUAUACUAAGGGGCGCGAGAUAACUCUCUCUAAGGAACUCGGCAAAAUGACUCCGUAACUUCGGGAGAAGGAGUGCCUUAUUUAUAAGGUUGCAAUAACAAGAUCCAAGCAACUGUUUACCAAAAACACAGGUCUCCGCUAAGUCGUAAGACGAUGUAUGGGGGCUGACGCCUGCCCAGUGCCAGAAGGUUAAAGAAGUUGGUUAGCAUCCGCGAAGCUGAUAACUGAAGCCCUGGUGAACGGCGGCCGUAACGAUAACGGUCCUAAGGUAGCGAAAUUCCUUGUCGGGUAAGUUCCGACCCGCACGAAAGGCGUAAUGAUUUGGAUACUGUCUCGGAGAGGGGCUCGGUGAAAUAGACUUGUCUGUGAAGAUGCGGACUACCUGCACCAGGACAGAAAGACCCUAUGAAGCUUUACUGUAACCUGAAAUUGAAAUUGGACUUUACUUGCGCAGUAUAGGUGGGAGGCGUUGAGAAUAUUCUUGCGGGAUUAUUGGAGCCAUCAGUGAGAUACCACUCUUGUAAUGUUAGAUUUCUAACUUUGUAUCAUUAUCUGGUCAAAGAACAGUUUCAGGCGGGCAGUUUGACUGGGGCGGUCGCCUCCUAAACGGUAACGGAGGCGCACAAAGGUUUCCUCUGAACGGGUAGAAAUCGUAUCUAGAGUGUAAAGGCAUAAGGAAGCUUGACUGUGAGACCUACAAGUCGAGCAGGGACGAAAGUCGGUCUUAGUGAUCUGACGGUGCUGAGUGGAAAGGCCGUCACUCAACGGAUAAAAGUUACUCUAAGGAUAACAGGCUGAUCUCCCCCAAGAGUUCACAUCGACGGGGAGGUUUGGCACCUCGAUGUCGGCUCAUCGCAUCCUGGGGCGGUAGUACGUCCCAAGGGUUGGGCUGUUCGCCCAUGAAAGCGGUACGCGAGCUGGGUUCAGAACGUCGUGAGACAGUUCGGUCCAUACCCGGUGUAGGCGUUGGAAUAUUGAGAGGAGCCUUCUUUAGUACGAGAGGACCGAGAAGGACAUACCUCUGGUGUACCAGUUAUCGUGCCAACGGUAAACGCUGGGUAGCUAUGUGUGGAGUGGAUAACCGCUGAAAGCAUCUAAGUGGGAAGCCCACCUCAAGAUAAGUAUUCUCAUC